UUGUCUUUUUUUUAGCUCACAUACUUUCUUCAAUCCAGUGUAAUCUGGCCCUCUGCCUUAUCCCAAAAUCUCUCCUCAAAAGCUUUUAAUAAUCUCCUACUUGUCAAAUUAAAUGACUUUUCCUUAUUCACCUUUUCUCUCUCCAUAACACGUAGUAUCUUUCUUUAAUCAGUUUCUUCAUUCUCAUAUUUGCUCUCACUUUCUAGCAACAUUUACACACCUGGUUCUCUUAUUUCUUUGUUUGUUCUUUUCCAGUCUUCUUCCUUGGCUCUUCUUAUCCAGCUAAUCCCCUAAAUCCAUGCAGUUUCAAAAUUCUAAUCCAUGAUUUUCUCUGUUCUUUAUUUAUAAUUUCUUUUUUUUGGAAGUCUCAUCUACUUCCAUAUAAAGUGCUAAAAUCUACUAGACAUUUUCACAUUCUGAUAGCACCUCAAACUCAGCACGGCAAAACCAACUGAAAGUAAAAGAACUGACUUUGAAUCCUAGUGCUGCCACUUAAUAACAACAUGAAAUUGAGCAAGUCAUGACUACGUAAUUCAGUUUCCUCAUUCAUAAGAAAUGAGAAAUUAAAAAAAAUUGCACUAUUUGACUUAAAGGAUGUUUAGAAAGAUGAAAAUAUACCUAGAAACUCUAUAAAAGAUUGCAUAAGUGUUCUGUGUUAGUGGAAAAAGUUAGUGUAAGAGUUCUGAGCUAGCGGUCAAUAAGGCUCAGAUUUUUGGUACUAUGUUUGACUUUCCCGUUUCACAAUUCUCCCACACUCAGUUAGUUACCAAGUACUUCCCCUCGGAUCUACCUUAGAAAUAUUUCAAAUAUCAAUCCCUUCUUUUAUAUUUUUGCUGCUGCUGCAUUAGUUCAUACCUGUGUUACUCAAGCCUUGAUUAGUACAGUAAGAUGGCUUUGCUUUCUCCCACCCAAGGACUAAUCAGACCCAACACUGAUUAACUUCUGAGAUCGGCAAGAUUGGGUGCAUUCAGGGUGGUAUGGCUGGAGACAACAGCUUUGCUUCCUAACUGAUUUCUGUAUUUAAUUUCUUUUUCCUCUUAAAUAUAAUCUUCCAUCCUGCUACCUGAUAAACCUUCCUGUAGGAUGAUGAUGUCUUAUAGAAUAAAACCUAAAUUUCUUGGCAAGGCCACUUGAUCCCAAACUAUCUUAUCAACUUUAUUGAUUACCAUACCCCUCCUCCAAGCAUCCUAAUUUCACCACACAAACUAUUUGCCAUCCCUCUAACACCUUACACUUAUUGUGGCUCCUGUGUCUUUGCUUUUAUCAUUCCUACUAGUUGUAAUAGGCUGUCCUUCUCUCUACCUAUUUCAAGGAAUGCCCAGAUCAUAUAAUAUUUUUCCAUCAAGAUUUUCUAAAUCUCACAAUAACAAUUUUCUCUUUUGUGUUUCAACAGUAUUUUUAUUUUUAUGCCUUAAUUAUAGUACUUAUAAAUUGUGUUGUAUGAAUAUGUGUUUAGAUGCAUUAUCAGACACAUCAUCUCUACAAGAUGGGGACUAGAGAACCUAAGAAGUUCUCAAUAAUUUUGCCAGAGAUACAGAAAUACAACUAUCAAAGUACAGGUAUUAUACAAAGUGCUUGAACAAACUCAGAAGAGUGUCAAAGAAGAAAUUAUUCAUUUCAAUUGGGAUGGGGGUAGUUAGACAGGCUUUAGAGAGGAGAAGGGAAGGUGGCAUUUGCUAGGUCUAGACAGUAAGUCCCUUGAUGGUGACAGUAUGCCUUCCCCCUCCUCAGACGCUAGUAAAAUGUUUUGCACAUAGUGUUUGUUGAACUUAAAAAAAUUAGAUGAAUUUUAGAUGGAGAACUAUGUUGAUUUAUAAAACAAAUGCAGUCAAGAAAAAGUAAAAGCCAAUGUGGAAGGAAUUUCCUAAUCCAAAGCUGUUAUCAGGAAGAUCAGUGUAUCUCACGAAGUGAUGAGAAAAUUAACACAGGCACGAGGAGCUAAAAAGCUUUCAAAGUAAACUGGUUUAUUCUCUGCUAAAAACCUUUCCAAUAAAAUCUGUUCUAUUACCUAUAUCAAGUAAUUUUAAUAUGCAUAUUUGCUCUUGCUACAUUUAGAUUACAUAAAAUUCCAAUGAAGUAUCUAGAAUUGGUAGAAAUAAAGGUGAAGCAAAUUAUUAGCCUGUGUACUAUUAUAAUUUUCAUUCAAAAGACAAAAGGCACGCUAAAAAUGUCUAUUAGAAGCAGUAUGAAGUAAACGGUUAGGAGCACAGUUUCUAAAGCCAAUCUGCCUACAUUUGAAUCUGGGCUCUAGCACUUUCUAAUUAGUUUGACUUUGCCCAAGCUGCUUAACCUCUCUGUCCUACAGUCUCUUAUCUGCAAAUUGUGCUAACAGUAGUAUAUAUUUUAUUAAGGGAGCUAGUAAUGAUUAAGUUAUGGCACAAAAUAAGGUUAGAACAGUGUCUGACAUACAGUAAGAGAAUAAAAGUUAUCUAUCAUUAUUAUUAAUAUUACUAACAAUACUGGCAAUAGAUAAUGAGUAUGUUUUGGUUUUAAGUGUAUCAUAAAACAGAAGUUUAAGCAGUAAUGGCCAACAUGCCCUAGAGAUGAGAAAGAUUUCAUUAAAUUUGUCCUCCAAAGUUAUUAAGCCCACAAUGGUUAAAUGCUCUGUCCUCUCACUGGGUUGAAGAAAGCAAAUAAGCCAGUAAGAGAUAUCUGUGAUAGAGUAAGCUGUGGGUGAGGAACCAGUAAAAAGCUAGACCUGCUCUAAUGUAUAAAAGCUGGAAGCUGAGAAGUACUAAAACAAGGUUUUCAAAGUUGCUGCAGACAGUGAUAUUUUCAUGCUAUCUGGAUGAUACCUGAGAUCCAACCCUACUCCUCUAGCUCCUUCUCAUAAAACAAGGAUAAGAAGAACAAUGCUCAACCAAAAUGCCAAAAGGAAUGAUUAACAUCAUAUGUACUCUAAGCCAUGUUUAGAGUGGAAAAAUGCCCAGCCUGUAGAAGUAUCUUAUUUAGAAACAAAAAUAAGCCCUUUCUUAAGUGCUUGUUGUAUGGAUUUAUUAAUUUCCUCAAAAUACAUGGAAGAGCUUAGAGAAAAUUAAAAUAGUUUUUUUUUUGCUAGAGUAUUGCUCUGUCUCCCAGGCUGAAGUGCAGUGGCGUGAUCUUGGCUCACUGCAACCUCCACCUCCUGGGUUCAAGUGAUUCUCCUGCCUCAGCCUUCUGAGUAGCUGGGAUUACUGGCACCUGCCACCAUGGCCAAGUAAUUUUUGUAUUUUUAGUAGAAACGGGUUUCACCAUGUUGGCCAGGUUGGUCUCGAACUCCUGACCUCAGGUGAUCUGCCCACCUCGGCCUCCCAAAGUGCUGGGAUUACAGGUGUGAGCUACCGUGCUUGGCCGCUUGUCUGUAAAUUAAUCAGGGUAUGGUACAAUAGUAGUAGCAAACACAAGGAAGUCAGACAAGAACUUUGAGGUCACCAUAGAAACAUAAGCAACAGAGAUCGAAGGAACAAUAGAUUGGGAGAAAAGUAACAAGGAAAGUUAAGGGACAAAGGAGGAUAUAGUCUUCAAGGUAGAUUAAGAACAGAAAGGUUUCUAAAUGCCAGACUUUUCCUUGAGGCAUUAUACUGAUCCAUUGAAGACUAAGCAGGUUUUUAUUUCUCCAUAUUCUGAAGCUUAUAACUGCACUUUGAUUACUUAUUCCCUCUGAAAAGAAACUUCUUAUAGCCUACAGGACAUCUGUGGCAUCAAAUCCAAGUCUUAAUAUUUAAAUAUAUUUUUUUCUAUUUUAUUCCUUUGUCUUUCCAAUACAUAACUUUUCAGCAGGGUUAAUGUUUGUGUUAUCCUAGUGGAUCUCCUGGCCUCUACCAUCUGAACCAAGAAUUAACUGCCUAAUAGGGACAGUUGGAGCUCUUUUCCUGCACAAUAACCAAAGCAUACCAAGACGCGAUCAACUUCUUAUGGGAUCAGUUACACUUAAAAGAAAAAAAAAGUGGAAUAAUAGAUAAGAAAUAUAAUAAAAUAUUGAUAGGGUUGAUGCUCUUAUGGGUACAUGAGGGUUUCACUGUAUUAGUCUCUGCUUUUACCUGUAUUUUGUAGUUUACAUUAAUAAAAAGCUUUUUAAAACUGAAAAAAUACAGUAGUAAAAACAUCAAAAUAAUUAUAUUUUUAUGAUAAAAAAGCCACUUAAUCACUUCCAAGCAUUUUAUCACUAUUAGAAGGGAAUAUAAUCUAAUUGCUAAAAUUGUCAUAUAUUUCAGUUAUCUCAUCAUCCUCAGAAAGCAAAUUCAGCAAGUAAGUAGAUGCUAGUGAUGCAUCUGUAACAACAAAGAGUAAGUAUUUGGAUAAAGAAGAGCCUCACUAACAGACAAACUGUUUAUAACUUAAAGCCAUGAUAAGUUUCAGAAUGUUUCAGCCAUGAGGGGUAGAUGCAUUUAUAUGUUGCAGCUGUAACUCAUAUAUAAUACAUGUAUAAGCCUCAAAAGUCCUGAGGCCAUUUUAAGUUUCAGCUUUACACAGAUUUAUAGUUCCUUCUCAAGUAUAUAGGAAUAUAGUUUAUAGGAAACAUGGAAAUAUCGGGAACUUUACAUAAACUAUUUCUAGUUCUUGUUAAUUUUAAAAUCAUAAUGUGAUAAACACAUUCCAUACUUUAUAUGUAUUGUUACAAUUCUUAAAAUUAUCCAUAUUCAAAGUGCUUACUUUUAUGCUAUAUAUUUCUUAUACUAUGACUUCAGAGAUUUCAUUAAAGGAUAAUAAAGAAUUCAUCUACCCUAUAAAAUGCUUUUUCAAAUAGCUGGACGUCGGGCCAGGUGCAGUGGCUCACGCCUGUAAUCCUAGCACUUUGGGAGGCUGAGGCAGGUAGAUCACCUGAGGUCAGGAGUUCGAGACCAGCCUGGCCAAAACAGUGAAACCCCAUCUCUACUAAAAAUACAAAAACUAGCCAGGUGUGGUGGCGGGUGUCUGUAAUCCCAGCUACUUGGGAGGCUGAGGCAGGAAAAUUGCUUGAACCCAGGAGGUGGAGGUCACAGUGAGCCAAGAUCACACCACUGUACUCCAGCCUGGGCAACAGAACCAGACUCCAUCUCAAAAUAAACAAACAAAAAAGUAGCUAGGCCUGGUGGUUCAUGCCUGUAAUCCUGGCACUUUGGGAAGCCGAGGAGGGCAGAUCAUUUGAGGUCAGGAGUUUGAGACCAGCCUGACCAACAUGGUGAAACCCUGUCUCUACUAAAAAUACAAAAAUUAGCUGGGCAUGGUGGCCCACGCCUGUAAUCCCAGCUACUUAGGAGGCUGAAGCAGGAGAAUCACUUGAACCCAGGAGGCGGAGGUUGCAGUGAGUCGAGAUCGCUGCCACUGCACUCCAGCCUGGGUGACAGAGCAAGACUCUGUCUCAAUAAAAUAAAACGAGAUCAAUGUUUUAAAUAAAAUAAGAUUCUGAGUUCUAGGCAUACUCAUUGUAAAGCAGAUUCACCAUUCCACAUUUCCUUGAUAAGACUGACAGAUGUAUACAGCAACAAGUGACGAACACUUGCAGUAAUACUACUCCUCAGCUGUUAACCAAGAUUUACUUCAGGCACUGAAAAGAGCAGAUUACUUGGAGAAUGUAGGUACUAGAAAGAAUGAACUUUACUAAGUGAUUCCUUAUUUGAAGCUGGAAUAAAAACUCUCUCCAUGUUUUCCUGCAUGACUUAUGCCAGACCAAUGAUGUAUAUAUACUAUAUAUAUAUGUGUGUAUAUAUAUAUAUACAAUGAUGUAUAUAUAAAACAAUAAGCAUGUUUCCACUUCCAUCUCUAAAUAUAUAGAAAAAGAAUCGUGGUCACAUGAUCUAAAGAGACAGAAACAACCUUCUAACUAAAAGAAAAUUAGAAAGUAAAAUAACCACUCACUUUUUAGAGAUGUUUUCCUAACCAGCUUAUAUCAAACCCACAACAGUCUAUUAUAUCAUUCUGUCUUUAACAGUGUCUUUCAUGAACUAAGGUGAACAGUGAUACAACCAUUUGAGAGAUGAAAAAUACAUAUAUAUAGGUUGAGCUAUGAAAAUAUGAAAUCUAAACGCUCCAAAAUCUAAAACUUUUUGAGUGCUGACAUGAUACUGUAAGUGGAAAAUUCCACACCUGAUCUCAUGUACACAAACUUUGUUUUGCGUACAAAAUUAAUGAAAAUACUGUAUAAAAUUACCUCCAGGCUGUGUGUUUAAGGUGUAUAUGAAAUAUAAGUGAAUUUUUUGUUUAGAGUUGGGUUCCAUUCCCAGGAUAUCUCAUUAUAUAUAUAUAUGUAAAUAUUCCAAAAUCUGAAAAAAUGUAAAAUCUGAAAUACUUCUAGUUCCAAGCAUUUUGGAUAAGGGAUACUCAACCCGUAUAAUCAAAUGACUUGCAGGUGACAUAGCUAAUUAUUAGAUCUUGGAGGGAAAAAUCCGUCUUUUCAAAUUUCCAGCUUAGUGCUAUAACCGUUCAGAUACAUCACAAAUUUAAGUCUAGUGGGGUGCUACAAAUUAUGCAUCAUCUCAUUAAUGAUAAUGUUUACUAAUCUCAAGAUCUUUGAAAUAAAAAUAAUAGCUACCUUUUUCAGAUACGGUGCUAGUAGGCACUUUAUAUAUAUUAUCUUGAAUCCUCACAAUAGCUCAGCGAAAUAUCCACUAUACUCCUCAUUUAUAGACUAGGAAAAUAAGAUUUAGAAAGAUUAAGUGACUUGCCCAAUCACUUAGCCAGAAAGUAUUGAAACCAGCUUUCAAAUCCAAGUUUAUCAAAGCCAGUGUUCUGAUUAACCAAAAGAUUCUUCCUCACAUGUGCAAAUAAUAAUCAUAUACUACAUACAGUGGCAUGAGACUUAUGGAAUAUCAUGAAAACUUUACUUUUUUCCCUUUCUAAUUUCAUUUCCUUCCUUUCUUUUCUUUUCUUUGUUUUUCCUAGAAGAUGUGGUAGAGGGGGAAGGAGCACUGAAUUCAUGAAAACAAGUUCCUUGGAGGAUUGAUAAAGGAAGAUGAUAGUAUUUCUACUCUGUCAGGGUAAUUCAAAAGCAUAUUUUUAAAUUUGUUACUACUUCUUGAACUUUACUAUGUGCCAGAACUAGGUGAUUUAUAUACAUAGCUCAUGUAAAACUUAUCAUGAGAUGCUAAAGAGCUUCCACUUAAAGGAAUUCAAAUUCUUGCUGAUUUUUAAUGAUGACCACUUUUGUUCAUUGCUAAUCUUCCUGUCCUUCAUUUUCUUCAGCCCUUCCCACUACUGCACCCUAAUCUUUAAAAAGCAAAACAAAUAAACAAUAACAAAAGUACUGACUUCAUAUGACUGCUAAAGGAAAAGUGAUGAUAUUGAAUUUGAUCUAUCAUCUUAAUAUUACUAAUUUAUAUUACCUAUUUAAAAUGUUACAGUAGCUCCCUCUAGUUUACAAAGCACUUUAGAAUACAUUAGCUAACUCAAUCCUCAAAAACGCCUGUGAGAUAGAUUUUAUAUAUCCCAUGGAGCUGAGGCUAAGAGGAAAUUGAGCAACUUUCUCAUUUAGUUGAGUGGCAGGCCUAUGUCUAAACCCAAGACUUCUCACUCUGCAUUAAGAGCUUUUCUUUAUCCUAUUUUAGUCACAGGUAGGCUCGACUAACCCAGGAAUGUGCUAUAUCAAUGUACUUGAAAAACAGAAACACCUAACACCUAGAUCUUAGUUUCUAUCACCAUCCUCUACCAUUUUCCAUAACCAGGACUCCUUGAAGAAAUCACCGAUUAUAUAAUUGGAGCAGGGAAAAUACAAGAUUAACUUGGAGUAUCUAAUAAUACUAGAAAGUAAGGGAGUACUCAAAAAACAAAAGGAUAGGGGAGUGACAAAAGAAGACAGGACUUUGGGUCUUUGGUCUUUGGGCUUCCAAUGGCCAAAGCUGGAACAAUUUGAGCAACAAAAUGAAUAAUGCAUAUAAAAUAAAUAUCCAUGAGUGCAUAUUGAUAUAAAUAACUGAAUAAAUAAGUAUGUGAGUAAAUGGGGAAGAAGACCCAAAUCCCCCUUACAUAAGAAUAAUGGACUUAUAUGUCCCCCUUCCAGGAGAUGGAAUUUAUUUUCCCUUCCCCCUUGAGUGUAGACUAAACUUAGUAACUUGCUUCCAAGGAGUGGAGUACGGAAAGUAAAUUUAAAAUAGAGUAACCAGGCAAACACUAUCUUCGCCAGGUGACCAAGGUUAACAUCAUUAGUGAUAAGUCACCUUGACAGCAUAUUCCCUUGAUGUGAUGUGAUGAAAAUAGAAGCUUACCUCUGGUCUUUCUCUCAGAAUCCCAUAACCCCAGCCUAAUAUGAGAAAAACACCAGACAAAUUCCAUUUGAAGGAUAUUCUACAGAAUAUCUAACCAGCACUCUUCAAAACUGCCAAGGUCAUGAAAAACAAGAAAGAAAAGAAACACAGAUGUGAUGAAUGAAGAAAAAUACCAGUUGAGUCACCUAACCAGUACUGAAAAAGUUAAGUUUCAAAAUACGGAAUCACAGGAAGAUGAAAAGGUUCUGAAGCAUUUACAAUUUUAUAAGCUUUCUUCGGGGUAAAACUUAUGUUUAAAACUUGCCAUGCAGGAUGUCUUGCAGCCCCACCACAAAGAAGAUUCAGUGGAGCUGAACAAGCUCACUACCAAGCCACUGAAAAGAGGAAAGAAAGUC